rnacentral:tRNA from 1 species
GUUGGAUUAAAAUUUACUUUUGGUGUAGGGGCUAAAAAGUUAGGUCUGUUCGACC